CACACCAUGCCCGUUAUCUUUCUCAAAUCCCCAUUGAUUAUUCUCCUUCUGCAUAAACAGCCCUGAAGCACCGAAUUGACGUUGAAGUUAAAUUUUCGUGAUUUGCUCUAUGAGCGCACACCUCGAUGAUCUACUAAACCAUCAGGCUGGCUUGUUGACGUUGCGGAAGGGCUGAUCUCUCACCAAUUUUUUUCCAUCGUGGGUUGCGACAAUGGUGGUUCUCUGGGAUAUCCUCUCGGGGUUUGAAUUAUUAGCCCAAUCACAGCUGUUUGUAAAUUUCUUUUUGGAUUUCGUUGGCUCGCUGCCAUCGCACGCAGUCUCAGAACCUUGAAAUGGAAAAUUUGCUUGUCAGAUCUCCAGGGAGGUUUGUUGAAUAACCCUGCUCUAAGUGGAUCGGAAAUACUUGAUUCCGGCGCAUUCCCUCCUUGCUACAAGAACUAAAAGCAGUCCGUUUUCAGAGAGCAGCAUGGCGUGCUGGGGAGAAUCUCCAGCGUCAGGUAUGCCUGGGUUCAAAUGCGUAUGCUUUCAAUUUCCGGGAGAGUUAUAGCUCCACACGUUAAGGGUCUUAAAAGUCUUGUUCGUCAGAUUGAGUUCACUCCGCCAAUCUCACCGGAAAUAACCAAACAUCCCGGUCUUUUCUAGAUCGUUCGAGAGCAUGGGUUGGAGAGUUCAGUAACGGAGAAGAAGGUAUAUCUUUCCAUCAGUUUUGAGAAAGUAGAAUGUAUUAUAAGUUCCUCUCAUGUACGACUGUACGGUAUAAACAACGAAGAACGC
rnacentral:sRNA from 1 species